rnacentral:snRNA from 1 species
CUCCGACUCCAGCCAAGAUCGCCAAAAAUUGGAACGAUGCAGAGAAGUUUAGCAUGGCCCCUGCGCAAGGAUGACACGCAAAUUCGUGAAGCGUUCCAUAUUUUA